rnacentral:rRNA from 1 species
UGAGUAACGCGUGGGUAACCUGCCCUUAAGUCUGGGAUACCAUUUGGAAACAGAUGCUAAUACCGGAUAAAAGCUACUUUCGCAUGAAAGAAGUUUAAAAGGCGGCGUAAGCUGUCGCUAAAGGAUGGACCUGCGAUGCAUUAGCUAGUUGGUAAGGUAACGGCUUACCAAGGCGAUGAUGCAUAGCCGAGUUGAGAGACUGAUCGGCCACAUUGGGACUGAGACGCGGCCCAAACUCCUACGGGAGGCAGCAGUU